rnacentral:rRNA from 1 species
UACAGAGGGUGCGAACGUUGCUCGGAAUCACUGGGCGUAAAGGGUGCGUAGGCGGUUCGUUAAGUCUGUCGUGAAAUCCCCGGGCUCAACCUGGGAAUGGCGAUGGAUACUGGCGAGCUAGAGUGUGUCAGAGGAUGGUGGAAUUCCCGGUGUAGCGGUGAAAUGCGUAGAGAUCGGGAGGAACAUCAGUGGCGAAGGCGGCCAUCUGGGACAACACUGACGCUGAAGCACGAAAGCGUGGGGAGCAAACAGG